CCUACGGGAGGCAGCAGUGGGGAAUAUUGGGCAAUGGGCGCAAGCCUGACCCAGCAACGCCGCGUGAAGGAAGAAGGCUUUCGGGUUGUAAACUUCUUUUCUCAGGGACGAAGAAAGUGACGGUACCUGAGGAAUAAGCCACGGCUAACUACGUGCCAGCAGCCGCGGUAAUACGUAGGUGGCAAGCGUUAUCCGGAUUUAUUGGGUGUAAAGGGCGUGUAGGCGGGAGCGCAAGUCAGAUGUGAAAACUCAGGGCUCAACCCUGAGCCUGCAUUUGAAACUGUGUUUCUUGAGUGCUGGAGAGGCAAUCGGAAUUCCGUGUGUAGCGGGGAAAUGCGUAGAUAUACGGAGGAACACCAGUGGCGAAGGCGGCUCUCUGGACUGUAACUGACACUGAGGCACGAAAGCGUGGGGAGCAAACAGGAUUAGAUACCCCUGUAGUC
rnacentral:rRNA from 1 species